rnacentral:rRNA from 1 species
GGUGAACGCUGGCGGUAGGCCUAACACAUGCAAGUCGAGCGGCAGCACAGUAAGAGCUUGCUCUUACGGGUGGCGAGUGGCGGACGGGUGAGGAAUACAUCGGAAUCUACUUUUUCGUGGGGGAUAACGUAGGGAAACUUACGCUAAUACCGCAUACGACCUACGGGUGAAAGCAGGGGAUCUUCGGACCUUGCGCGAUUGAAUGAGCCGAUGUCGGAUUAGCUAGUUGGCGGGGUAAAGGCCCACCAAGGCGACGAUCCGUAGCUGGUCUGAGAGGAUGAUCAGCCACACUGGAACUGAGACACGGUCCAGACUCCUACGGGAGGCAGCAGUGGGGAAUAUUGGACAAUGGGCGCAAGCCUGAUCCAGCCAUACCGCGUGGGUGAAGAAGGCCUUCGGGUUGUAAAGCCCUUUUGUUGGGGAAGAAAAGCAGCAGGUUAAUACCCCGCUGUUCUGACGGUACCCAAAGAAUAAGCACCGGCUAACUUCGUG